UUGCCAUCAUGUUUGAUAAAACGAUAAUUGGCAUAAUAUAGAAAUUUGCUAUUUGAUUGAGUAACGAUGCUGCAAUGGCGUAAGACAUCUAACAAUAUCAAAUAAUUAGCGAGCAACGAAUAUUAGCUUUUUGGGUUAGGAACUUCCGUUUAUUAUACUAAUGACGGCUUUCUGAUUAAGAACGCUGAAUUUUUAAUCUAAAAAUCAGGUUCACCGAAUAUUGCGCGUCUCUAUACGAACGACUGCCGGGAGGCAGGCGGUUUUGUAAAAAUCACGAGGCCAUCGGUUUACAAUAGCUCCCUAUUUCGCUGCUCUUUAUUGAA
rfam:Providencia burhodogranariea DSM 19968 genomic scaffold scaffold00001, whole genome shotgun sequence.